UUACAGCCAUAUCAUGUUGAAAGGCCGGUUUUCCUACGAUCACCGGAGAUAAGCAACAUCGAGUCUGGUCAGUACUAAGAUGUGUGACCUUUUGGGAACACCAGGUGCUGUAAG